GAUGAACGCUAGCGGCAGGCCUAACACAUGCAAGUCGAGGGGCAUCAUGGCGUAGCAAUACGCUGAUGGCGACCGGCGCACGGGUGCGUAACGCGUAUGGAACCUACCCACCGCAGGGGGAUAACCCGCCGAAAGGCGGACUAAUACCCCAUGGUUCCCCGACCCUGCCUGGGGUUGGGGGUAAAGCCUACGGGCGGCGGUGGAUGGCCCUGCGUGCCAUUAGCUGGCUGGUGGGGUAACGGCUUACCAAGGCUACGAUGGCUAGGGGGUCUGAGAGGAUGAUCCCCCACACUGGAACUGAGACACGGUCCAGACUCCUACGGGAGGCAGCAGUGAGGAAUAUUGGUCAAUGGGGGCAACCCUGAACCAGCCAUGCCGCGUGAAGGAUGAAGGCCUUAUGGGUUGUAAACUUCUUUUGUACGGGGCGAACUGUUUUUACGCGUAAAGACUUGACAGUACCGUACGAAUAAGCAUCGGCUAACUCCGUG
rnacentral:rRNA from 1 species